CACACCUGUCAGGUGGAUGGAUUAUCUUGGCAAAGGAGAAAUGCUCAUUAACAGGGAUGAAACAAAGAGAGAGAAUAAGCUUUUCGUGCUUAUGGAAAAAUUUUGGGAUUUUCAUUUCAGCUCAUGAAACAUGGGACCAACACUUUACAUGUUGUGUUUAUAUUUUUGUUCAGUGUAGUUAGUAUAGCUACUGUAACUAGUAUACUAGUUAGUUAGUGUAGCUACUGUAACAAGUAUACUUGUUAGUUUAGCUACUGUAACGAGUAUACUUGUAAGUUUAGCUACUGUAACGAUUAUACUUGUUAGUUUAGCUACUGUAACGAGUAUACUUGUUAGUUUAGCUACUGUAACGAGUAUACUUGUUAGUUUAGCUACUGUAACGAGUAUACUAGUUAAUCAUCACUGAUGAACACGACUCACACAGAUGUUUUAUUAUUGAUCACUAAACUGUUGGAUGUUAUGUGUUUUUAUAACCCAGUACCACAGAAAGAGUCAGUGUAGUAGUGUGUAGGCGAAUGUGUGUGUCAUAUUUCAUCUGGAGACACACUAACUAACCCUUCUUCAACUUAAGAGGCUCUACGUCUGGGGCGGUACUGAUUUUUAGUUUUUUUUUUAAACCUCAUCUCAUUCCUUUAUUUAGUAAUGUAAUUUUAAUUUAUAUGAAUUGUACGAACGUUAUGAUUCACAUUCCUGAAUGUUUUAAGUGAAAAAGGAAAAUGCAAUCUUGUCAUUGUGUUUUUUAUUGCCUGAAGUUUUGGAACACUGGAGAAGUAACAGCUCUAGUAUGUCUGAGUCCAAAAUGGGACCCUAAUGCCUAUGUACUGCUUUACGUAUGACCGGCUCCCAUCCCAUAGGGACAACAAGUAGUGCACUGUAUAGGGAAUACAGCCAUUUAGGACAGAGUCAUAUGGGUUUGUCAAGUAGGCCUAAGACCAAGUCUAGUACCGCACAGGUACAGAGUUGUGAAUUAGAGGAGCUAGGUCACCUCACUGUUUGGUGUUUUCACAUGUCAUUUGUCAUUGAUCAAAACGAGAAUAUUAAAGUGUUGACAGAUA